GAUGAACGCUGGCGGCGUGCCUAAUACAUGCAAGUCGAGCGAACAGACGAGGAGCUUGCUCCUCUGACGUUAGCGGCGGACGGGUGAGUAACACGUGGAUAACCUACCUAUAAGACUGGGAUAACUUCGGGAAACCGGAGUUAAUACCGGAUAAUAUAUUGAACCGCAUGGUUCAAUAGUGAAAGACGGUUUUGCUGUCACUUAUAGAUGGAUCCGCGCCGCAUUAGCUAGUUGGUAAGGUAACGGCUUACCAAGGCAACGAUUCGUAGCCGACCUGAGAGGGUGAUCGGCCACACUGGAACUGAGACACGGUCCAGACUCCUACGGGAGGCAGCAGUAGGGAAUCUUCCGCAAUGGGCGAAAGCCUGACGGAGCAACGCCGCGUGAGUGAUGAAGGUCUUCGGAUCGUAAAACUCUGUUAUUAGGGAAGAACAAAUGUGUAAGUAACUAUGCACGUCUUGACGGUACCUAAUCAGAAAGCCACGGCUAACUACGUG
rnacentral:rRNA from 1 species